rnacentral:pre_miRNA from 1 species
GGUCUGGUUCUGUGUGGAAGACUAGUGAUUUUGUUGUUUUUGACAGUUGAAUGACAACAAAUCACAGUCUGCCAUAUAGCGCAGGUCA